AUGGCCGGAAUUGUCAACAAGGAGUUUCCUAAGUUGGCCCAGACAGGGCUAAACUACCUGUCAUGGUCCUCGGACUGCGAGAUUUUUCUCCAGGGAAAAACCCUCCUGAGGGCGAUCGGUAAGGGGGCCCAGCUGGCCGCCACUGAUCCCAAGUUUGAAACUGAGAAUGCGUCUGCACUUCUCCGUCAUCACCUGUCACCUACUCUGAAAGAUGAGUAUAUGGCCGAGCGCAGUGCUUCUGGCCUUUGGACCGCUCUUAAGCAGCGGUUUGAGCGGCUGAAGUACACUGUGAAGCCACGUGCAGAGUCAGAGUGGAUCCGUCUGAGGUUUGUGGACUUCAAGACGAAGAUUGAGAAAACCCUAUCCACUUUCCACCCCGACGCGGUCUAGUCCUCACGGAACUACCGCCAGGGGAACUACACGAGGUAUUCAGAGUUGAUUGACGUCCUCCAGGUGGUGGAGGCGUAGAACGAGGUUCUCAAAAAGAACUUUGUCGCGCAACCACUUGGGGGGAGUUCUCGCCAGGAGGUGAACACUCUCAAAGUCCGCAAACCUCAACAGAAGAAGAGGGGCCGCAAGGGCAAGAAGAAGGGCCCUCACCCCCGCCCCGGGGCAGAGACCUCAUGCUGCUUCCGUUGUGGCUCGGUGGAGCAUUUCUCCCGCCAGUGCCGCGCACCACCGGAGGUCAUUGAAGCAUACAAGGCUCGGAAGGCGUGUGAGACACACCUCGCCUUGGUUCAGGAGGGAGCAUCACCGGCACCCAUGGCGUCACCCAUGAUGACCUCUACGCCCCCUGUUGCGCCCAUAGAGGCGAACCCCGUGGUGCCCAUCGCGGCAGCUUUGGCGGUCUCUACCGACACCCACGUUGCCAUGGAGGUUGACCACAUGGUCGCCUCAGCGGUGCCGCCACUAGACAUUGAUGCUGCCUCCAAGAUGAUUUCUAAGGAGGAUCAGCUCACUAGUAUGGAGAUUGCGGCUGAAGUGAAUGGCUUCUUCACCGGGUCCACUUAG
rnacentral:rRNA from 1 species